rnacentral:ncRNA from 1 species
CCUGCCGCGUCGCGUUUCGAGGGGACGCCCCUCGCGCGAUCCACAGGACGGGAUGUGAACCGCGCUCUCGGUUCGGAGGUCGGAGACCUCCCGCGGUUUGAACCACUCG